rnacentral:rRNA from 1 species
AAACUAACAAGGAUUCCCCUAGUAGCGGCGAGCGAAGCGGGAAGAGCUCAAAUUUGUAAUCUGGUACCUUCGGUGCCCGAGUUGUAAUCUCGAGAAGUGUUUUCCGUGCCAGACCGCAUAUAAGUCUGUUGGAAUACAGCGUCAUAGUGGUGAGAACCCCGUAGAUGAUGCGGAUGCCUGGUGCUCUGUGAUACACUUUCGAAGAGUCGAGUUGUUUGGGAAUGCAGCUCAAAUUGGGUGGUAAAUUCCAUCUAAAGCUAAAUAUUGGCGAGAGACCGAUAGCGAACAAGUACCGUGAGGGAAAGAUGAAAAGCACUUUGGAAAGAGAGUUAACAGUACGUGAAAUUGUUGGAAGGGAAACGCUUGAAGUCAGACUUGCUAUUUGGAGUUCAGCCUUACGGUGUAUUCUUCAAUUUGCAGGCCAGCAUCAGUUUUUGGGGGUAGAAAAGGGUAUUAGGAACGUGGCAACUCCGGUUGUGUUAUAGCCUUUUACUGGAUCUAUCCCUGGGGACUGAGGAACGCACGGUACUUUUUGCAAGACUCUCGAGUCUUUUUACCGUUAGGAUGCUGGUGGAAUGGCUUUAAACGAC